GAAAUCUUAUCUUUUGUUUUUUUUUUUAAUUUUUGUGACUUAUAUUUGUUUAGUGAUUAUCUAAUAACUUGAUUUAAACAUUUUCUAAGUAUCUUAAAAGUUUAAGGAAGUGUUCUUUUGUUUAGUUAUUUGAUUAUAGGGUUUGGAAGACGACUCACAAAAGACUUCCCAAGAAGACUUACCAAGACGUCUUCUGACAUAUUGCCGCAUAAAUUUUAGUAGAAUUUAAAUUUUCCGCAUAAAGCAAAGUCUUCCAGAAAUAUUCCAGAAGUCUUCUCAUGUAUUUGCUUUUUAGGGUCAAGAAGACUUACCAAGAAGUCUUCU
rnacentral:lncRNA from 1 species